UACGAAGGGGGCUAGCGUUGUUCGGAAUUACUGGGCGUAAAGCGCGCGCAGGCGGCCAUUCAAGUCAGGGGUGAAAGCCCGGAGCUCAACUCCGGAACUGCCUCUGAAACUGUUUGGCUUGAGUACGGGAGAGGUGAGUGGAAUUCCCAGUGUAGAGGUGAAAUUCGUAGAUAUUGGGAAGAACACCGGUGGCGAAGGCGGCUCACUGGCCCGUUUCUGACGCUCAGGCGCGACAGCGUGGGGAUCAAACAUG
rnacentral:rRNA from 1 species